AUAUUUACCUGUCAGGAGAGAUACCAUGAUCGCAAAAGUGAUUAUCCAGGGUGAGGCUUAUCCAUUGUACCCUGGAUGUGCACCCCUAAAAUUUCCUCAAAUGUUGGAAACUGGACUGCAUAAUUUGUGGUAGUGGGGGACUGCAUUUGUACUCUUCUCUU